GCAGCGAAGCUGACGAAACAACACCAAACGAUACACAAAAGAGAAGAGGAUAACAUCGCCGCCGGCGCCGAUGAUUCCUCCGCCCGCCCCCGUCGUCCACCUUCCAAUACUCUCCACCCCCGCCACCCCAUCCCGCCGCGUCUCGCUCCGCACCCCCGUAUCCGCCGCGGCGUCUUCGCUGAGGAGAAAAUGCCGCCUGCCCCAGCUCCGAUCGUCGCUGCCCCCCGAAGGAGUCCCGGCGGAACUGGUGGGGGAGGACUCUAAGUUCGUGCCGCUGAACGCCGAGGACCCCAUGUACGGACCGCCGGCAAUAUUGCUCAUUGGAUUUGAGAAAGGCGAGACAGGGAAGAUUCAGGAGUUCCUGAAAGAGCUUGACGGUGAUUUUCUCAAGGUAAUUCAGUGCACAGAAGAAAUGACGAAACAAACUUUGUGGGAUGCCAUGCACACUGAGCAGCCUAAUGUAGAAGGUGUCAAGAUAUCACAAUCACCACAAAGAAUAUGCAUCUUUUCGGGUCUGACUGGUGAGGAGAUGAUGAUGUUCAUCGACGCCUUCCCAGAGUCAGGGUUGGAACAGGCCGCUUUCGCAGCACUUGUUCCCAACAGCGCGGAGAAAAUUCUUAGCGAGGUGAUCGAGGAAAUAACGGGCGACCACGAAAUGCUGAAGGGAACGAACUCGGCAUGAAGAUCUGAAGUAGGAGUAGCGAUUUGUCUGCAGACGCAAAUUCAGGCAGCAUUGAACUGAUCCUCAAGUAAUUAUCUCCUGAAAUCGCCAGCUCCAAGUGAUCCAUCGGUUUUAAUUCUUGGACCAGGAGCUUCCAGCCUACUUAUCCACACACAACAUUAUUCCUUCUGAAUCGUCAUCGUUUCAAGUCUGGCGCUACAGAUAAUCAUAAUAUCGAUUUUUUAAGUGCACAGUUGAGCAUCCUGGCAUGUGAGAUGUCUCUUUGAGGAGCCUUAUAUGGUAUUUUAUUCUUUCCAUAUUGCCAUAUUGGUUGUCAUAGAUUUAGAUGCAUCAGACACAUUGAGUAAUUAUAUUACUCCAAGUUAUGCCGCAAGGAUUUGCCUUCU